rnacentral:tRNA from 1 species
GCCUAGUUAGCUUGGUUGGUAGCGCGUCUGCCUCGUAAGCGCUAGGCCGCGGGUUUGAAUCCCGCUCGGGGCG